ensembl:snoRNA SNORD116 Small nucleolar RNA SNORD116
GGAUGGAUGAUGAUUUCCAGAUAUGCAUUCCUUGGAAAGCUAAGCAAAAUGAUUGACAACUCUAUACACUUAUCCUCAUUGAACUGAGGUCC